UGGGGAAUCUUGGACAAUGGGCGCAAGCCUGAUCCAGCCAUGCCGCGUGAGUGAAGAAGGCCUUCGGGUUGUAAAGCUCUUUUUACCAGGGACGAUAAUGACGGUACCUGGAGAAUAAGCCCCGGCAAACUUCGUGCCAGCAGCCGCGGUAAUACGAAGGGGGCUAGCGUUGUUCGGAAUUACUGGGCGUAAAGCGCACGUAGGCGGAUUGUUAAGUCAGAGGUGAAAUCCCGGAGCUCAACUUCGGAACUGCCUUUGAUACUGGCAAUCUAGAGUCCGGAAGAGGUUAGUGGAAUUCCCAGUGUAGAGGUGAAAUUCGUAGAUAUUGGGAAGAACACCAGUGGCGAAGGCGGCUAACUGGUCCGGUACUGACGCUGAGGUGCGAAAGCGUGGGGAGCGAAACAGGAUUAGAUACCCAAGUAGUCCCUGAGCGGGCUGGCAAGGCGCAU
rnacentral:rRNA from 1 species